UACGGGGGGGGCAAGCGUUGUUCGGAAUUACUGGGCGUAAAGGGCUCGUAGGUGGCCAACUAAGUCAGACGUGAAAUCCCUCAGCUUAACUGGGGAACUGCGUCUGAUACUGGUGAGCUUGAGUGCAGGAGAGGAACGCGGAAUUCCAGGUGUAGCGGUGAAAUGCGUAGAUAUCUGGAGGAACACCGGUGGCGAAGGCGGCGUUCUGGACUGCAACUGACACUGAAAAACGAAAGCCAGGGGAGCAAACGGG
rnacentral:rRNA from 1 species